rnacentral:sRNA from 1 species
UGCUGAAUUUAGGGCAUCUUCACGGUAAAAGUGAUAGAAAGUAUCUCAAAAAAAAAAAAAUUAAUCCAAUCAAUAUAUUUUCCGAAUGGUGCAGUUCAAAUAAUAACGAAAAUACAUAGAUACAUAUGUAUAUGUAAAGAUUUUGAUACUGUUACAGCACUGUUGCGGUGCGAUUUUGGAUGCGGUUUUAGUCAUCAUUUACAGCUUCAGUUCGAAGAAAAUAAAUCACUGGUUAAAUGACAACUGUCAAUAAAUGCUGAGAAUCGUUUCUCCUGUGAAAAACGUUCAUCCACUUUUUUCUCUUUCUCUCUAAUUUAUUUUCUUUUUUAUUAUUAUUU